rnacentral:rRNA from 1 species
UACGUAGGGUGCAGGCGUUAAUCGGAAUUACUGGACGUAAAGCGUGCGCAGGCGGUUUCUUAAGUCAGAUGUGAAAGCCCCGGGCUUAACCUGGGAACUGCGUUUGAAACUGGGAGACUUGAGUGUGGCAGAGGGGGGUGGAAUUCCACGUGUAGCAGUGAAAUGCGUAGAUAUGUGGAGGAACACCGAUGGCGAAGGCAGCCCCCUGGGUUAACACUGACGCUCAUGCACGAAAGCGUGGGGAGCAAACAGG